GAUAUGCCAUUGAAAUCUAUUACUGCAGCUUGGGAGACUGAUGAACUUGUCAACCAUGGUUUUAAGCAAUCAGAGGUUGAAGACUUCAUCAGAGCCAUAUUUGCAGAUUCACCUCUGAGGAAAGAGUGCUUACGAAGAAUAGAAAGUCGAUAUUACCAAGCUUUCAGUUACAGUUAACUCAUUGAUAUCUACAGCUAGAAGUUUUACUUGUGUUGGAUCUCUCUCAACCUCGAUAAGUUUUGCGAUUUUGUUACUUGAGGAGCCUUCCAUAGUCCAUUUAUCCAAGUUUCAAAAUCAAUGAUUGCUGUUUUAUGUAUUUAUUGGAGUUUGGCAGUUGGAACCAUAGAAUCUACUUGAUAGGCUUCUUCAUGUGAAAAUGUAAAUCGGUUCAUUGUACAUUUAUGAGGAUA
rnacentral:misc_RNA from 1 species